AGUGAACGCUGGCGGCAGGCCUAACACAUGCAAGUCGAGCGGCAGCGGGUCCCCGCGAGGGGAUGCCGGCGAGCGGCGGACGGGUGAGGAACACAUCGGAAUCUGCCUGGUUGUGGGGGAUAACGUAGGGAAACUUACGCUAAUACCGCAUGCGACCCUGAGUCGACGGACUGGGGGUGAAAGUGAGGGACCUUCGGGCCUCACGCGACCAGAUGAGCCGAUGUCGGAUUAGCUAGUUGGCGGGGUAACGGCCCGCCAAGGCGACGAUCCGUAGCUGGUCUGAGAGGAUGAUCAGCCACACUGGGACUGAGACACGGCCCAGACUCCUACGGGAGGCAGCAGUGGGGAAUCUUGGACAAUGGGCGCAAGCCUGAUCCAGCCAU
rnacentral:rRNA from 1 species